UCCACUUCCAGCUACUUGAGUCACUUCUGAUGCUGCCGGGCACAUGACUGUCGCUACGAGAAGCCGAAGGAGUCCGGCCGCCAGCCUGUGCUGAAUG
rnacentral:lncRNA from 13 species